rnacentral:misc_RNA from 1 species
ACGAGUGAGGGUCGUCCAGGCCCGACCUCCCAACCCUUUGUUUACUGAACCCCUGUUGCUUCGGCGGACCCGCCUCACGGCCGCCGGAGGACUGUCGCAAGGCGUCCUCUGGCCCGCGUCCGCCGACGGCCAACCACACAAACCCUGAACCAACCGUGUUGUGUGUCUCAGUUCAUGAUUAAAUUAAAACA